rnacentral:lncRNA from 1 species
GGUGUCUCCAUAAAAUCUCUAUAUAGCUUUGUCUCUGUGGACCACUUUGUGGAUCAAAAAAUACCUCGUAAAAAGCUGGAGGAUAUCGCAAGUCUUAUAAGACAAGGUGACCUGACUGAAUAAUUGACGGAGGAUUAAAAUCCACACUCUCUCUCUGCAACACAUGCAGUUGUACGUUCAUAUGAUUUUGUUUGUAUUUUAUUAUUAUUUAAUAAAAUAGAUGAGUAAAUCAUCAAAAAUAUUAAAAAAUUUAGUUAGUAAGAAAAUGAAAA